rfam:Pteropus alecto contig98750, whole genome shotgun sequence.
GGUUCCAUAGUGUAGCGGUUAGCACGUCUGCUUUACGUGCAGAAGGUCCUGGGUUCGCCCCCCAGUGGAGCCA